AAGAUCUACUACUACUGGAGGAUCAAGAACACUUUUUGCUGGCAAUCUUGCGCUCCAAGUCAAAAAAUCAGAUAUGAGUUCUUCCAAGAAGCUGGCGAAGUUGUUGAUGUUAAAUUUGGUAUGGGACGUGAUGAUGGCAGUUUUAGGGGAUUUGGCCAUAUUUUGUUUGCUUCUCCUGUAGAAGCACAGAUGGGUAGAACUUUGCUCGGUCGUCAAAUUCGGCUUUACAUGGCUCUAGAAAGUUCAGAAACCAGGUGCUUCGGUGGUAACUUGUGGUAGAUCAAUCAAGAAUAACUAAAGAUAAUAACUAAGGG